rnacentral:rRNA from 1 species
CCUACGGGAGGCAGCAGUAGGGAAUAUUGCUCAAUGGGGGAAACCCUGAAGCAGCAACGCCGCGUGGAGGAUGAAGGUUUUCGGAUUGUAAACUCCUUUUGUUAGAGAAGAUAAUGACGGUAUCUAACGAAUAAGCACCGGCUAACUCCGUGCCAGCAGCCGCGGUAAUACGGAGGGUGCAAGCGUUACUCGGAAUCACUGGGCGUAAAGAGCGCGUAGGCGGGAUAGCAAGUCAGAUGUGAAAUCCUAGGGCUUAACCAUAGAACUGCAUUUGAAACUGUUAUUCUAGAGUAUGCGAGAGGUAGGUGGAAUUCUUGGUGUAGGGGUAAAAUCCGUAGAGAUCAAGAGGAAUACUCAUUGCGAAGGCGACCUGCUAGAACAUAACUGACGCUGAUGCGCGAAGGCGUGGGGAGCAAACAGGAUUAGAUACCCGUGUAGUC